rnacentral:tmRNA from 1 species
GGGGGCGUAAAGGUUUCGACGGGGAUGACCAACGUCGAGCUGCGCGUCGUGGCGCCCAGGGCCACGUAAAAAUGGGCAAAACCGCAACUGCGAACGAUAACGCUGUUGCUCUCGCUGCCUGAUUAAAAACCAGGUAACGACAGCGCCCUGAGCUUCCGCCUGGAGCCCAGGAGCGCUGAAACAAUCAGGCUGGAUCACCCGAACCGUCGGCGCAGGGUGAUCGAGACUUAGUCGACUCGUUGCUCACGUAGCCUGCCGAUGGGCGCCGUGAGCGAGACCUCAAAUCAACGGAUACACGCGUAGUAGCUCGACCGGAAGCAUUCUCGGACGCGGGUUCGAUUCCCGCCGCCUCCACUU